rnacentral:rRNA from 1 species
ACGGGAGGCAGCAGUGGGGAAUAUUGGACAAUGGGGGAAACCCUGAUCCAGCGACGCCGCGUGAGUGAAGAAGUAUUUCGGUAUGUAAAGCUCUAUCAGCAAGGAAGAAAAUGACGGUACUUGACUAAGAAGCCCCGGCUAACUACGUGCCAGCAGCCGCGGUAAUACGUAGGGGGCAAGCGUUAUCCGGAUUUACUGGGUGUAAAGGGAGCGUAGGCGGCGUGAUAAGUCAGAAGUGAAAGCCCGGGGCUCAACUCCGGGACGGCUUUUGAAACUGUCAUGCUUGAUUUCAGGAGAGGAAAGCGGAAUUCCUAGUGUAGCGGUGAAAUGCGUAGAUAUUAGGAGGAACACCAGUGGCGAAGGCGGCUUUCUGGACUGACAAUGACGCUGAGGCUCGAAAGCGUGGGGAGCAAACAGGAUUAGAUACCCUGGUA